rnacentral:rRNA from 1 species
AAUGAACGCUAGCGGCAGGCUUAAUACAUGCAAGUCGAGGGACAGCACAGGUAGCAAUACUGGGUGGUAACCGGCAAACGGGUGCGGAACACGUACAUAACCUUCCUUUAAGUGGGGGAUAGCCCAGAGAAAUUAGGACUAAUACCCCGUAAUACAGUUGAAUGGCAUCAUUAGAUUAUUAAAGCUACGGCGCUUAAUGAUGGGUGAGCGGCUGAUUAGAUAGUUGGCGGGGUAACGGCCGACCACGUCUACGAUCAGUAGCUGAUGUGAGAGAAUGCUCAGCCACACGGGCACUGAGACACGGGCCCGAAUCCUACGGGAGGCAGCAGUAAGGAAUAUUGGUCAAUGGACGCAAGUCUGAACCAGCCAUGCCGCGUGAAGGAUUAAGGUCCUCUGGAUUGUAAACUUCUUUUAUUUGGGACGAAAAAGGGCCUUUCUAGGUCAACUGACGGUACCAGAUGAAUAAGCACCGGCUAACUCCAUGCCAGCCGCCGCGGUAAAAC